CACGCUGUGUGUGUGUGUAGCCAGCCAGCCAGGUAGAAAAAUGGCAGAAAAAUAAAAAAGACGGACAUCAGAGUAUUUUUCAGUACACCAAAACGCAAAGCAGAGCAGGCAACAGAUGGCACACAGACAGCAGAGUUGGGGACAGAUAUGCAGGGACAGACUGGCAGAGACAGGGAGUCUCAGUGCCCCCCAGAGUUUCACAGCAAACAUGCCGGAGUCACUGCCAGAAUCUGUGACGGUUCAUCCAGGAGCACCUGUGUCUUCACUGACAGAUUGAUGACUUCAAUCAGUAACACCAAAACUCGCUAUAGCUCGAUUGAAAUUCAAAGGCAAUGUUCUCGAAGACUGGAAAUGACCUUUACAUUUCAAGCGCGCUAUUUUCAGCAAUCACAAU
rnacentral:lncRNA from 1 species